rnacentral:lncRNA from 10 species
AGGACAAAUGCUGCACAUUCCUUCUGGAUGGAAGGCAGAGCCCCCACACUGGCCACAGAGGGCUCACUAUCACACAGCAGCGCUAGCGUGAGCUGCCACAGCUGCCCAUCUGGGCCACUCACAACUGUACCACGAGUAUCCCCACACAGAGAUCUCUGUGCAUUGCUGCAUCUGUGUCUACUGGGUAUGUUCCCGAAAGUGGCACAGCUGCAUGGAGGCUCACACACACAGAAGGUGAUGUGAAGAAUAAAAAUCACAGACCAGGGGACACGGCCUCCUGCCAGCCCUCCAAGGGGGGUCUCCUGGAUGAUGGACACCCCCAGCAGAGGAUGCCUGUCAAUCAUUCCUGCCAUCAGAGGAACUGCCCAAAGGCAGGUGUGUUCCACACUGAGAGAAGCAAGGCCUGGUUGGAGACAUUUUCUGAAUUGUCAGUGUCUGCAAAUGCCUUCAGAGGAACCCAGACACUGACUGGUUCCACCCUCUCCCAGGUCACUUUUCAGUUGGCAAAGCAAGCACAGCACGAUGUCUGUAUCAUUGCAAGCGCAUGAGGACGCCUGCGUCACUGCAAGCACACGAGGACGCCUGCGUCACUGCAAGCACACGAGGACGCCUGCGUCACUGCAAGCACACGAGGACGCUUGUGUCACUGCAAGCACACGAGGACGCUUGUGUCACUGCAAGCACACCACGAUGCUUGUGCCCCCGCAAGCAUAUGAGGACACCUGUGUCACUGUGCAUUUAAAAGGCCCCAGGACCUCCCAGCCACACCCAGACACAAAAGGGAAGAAGAAAGCAGCAGGGAAGCUAUUGUCAGGGAAAAGCUGAAAUGAAUUCCAAAUACAUUGAGAGUAGAGAAAAUGCUUCCAUCAGAUUUUAAUUCCACACCCUCAACACCGGUGGGAUGAACAUUUCUGAAAGGCAGCUCCAUAGAAUGUUGCUGCAAGAGUCUGGCAUCCUCACACCCCCUGCCUUAGAUGAUCCUAGAGGACACCCCCGCCAUCACCCUUUGGGCCACUGUUAGGACGCUGAGCUGGGCUGCAGGAAAACACCAGAAUUAAAUCAAAAAUGGGCAAUGGAGAGAGGGCCUUCUAACUGCAAGGGGGCCAGGAAGUUGCUGUCUUGACAAGUCACUGUGAGGCUUAAAAAUAAGCUUUACAAAUAGCAUGUUAAAGGGAGUGGCUCAAACAGCCCUGGCUCAGGGACAGGGGUCUGCAGGCACUGGCCUCUGCCAUCUCCCUCCUCACAGCCUCCCCUCUCCUUUGAAUGGUGCUUUUUGCAGGCUCCCCUUCCCGCGGGCCUCUAAGCCUGGGGCGCUGUCGUAGGAGCCAGGGGGUCUGCUUGAGAUGUGCGCUCUGUAUGGGUUCUUCUCAUGCCGGAUGUUGAAGAGGCAAGUCCUGAGCAUUGACGAUCCAGGAAUUGAUGAAUCCACCUGAAAAUGUCCUCCCUGAAUCUCAAAAUCCCUAAGGACAGGACUGCUUAGAGUGGGCAGUACUGUGUGCACGGUAUAGAAGGACUCACAUGAGGAGGAAGGACCUGACUCUGAGGACAAACAUCUCUGAUGGUCAAGUGAAGACUCCAUCCCACAAUCACCCCGCCCCAUCCCUCCUAAUGUUUCCCUCACUUUAUUAUAGGACGGGGCUGCAAUGGUGUAAGAAGGGGGUGUAGAACGGGAGAGGAUUAUACAGUGGGACGGACAUAACCUCUUUUAGCCUCUGUGAUAAUUUACACACAGGAUAAUAUUAGCAAGUUAAGGCUGCAAGAGCCGAUGUUUGAAGAGGUGUGAUAUUAACCAGACAGGCUUCAUAUUUGAGUGAAUGUGGAAGAAAUGCUUAGGAAUAGAAAAUUUGACAUGGGCCCC